AGCGGCGGAGCAUGUGGCUUUAAUUCGACGCAACGCGAAGAACCUUACCAAGGCUUGACAUACACCGGAAAACCCUGGAGACAGGGUCCCCCUUGUGGUCGGUGUACAGGUGGUGCAUGGCUGUCGUCAGCUCGUGUCGUGAGAUGUUGGGUUAAGUCCCGCAACGAGCGCAACCCUUGUCCCGUGUUGCCAGCAGGCCCUUGUGGUGCUGGGGACUCACGGGAGCCCGCCGGGGUCAACUCGGAGGAAGGUGGGGACGACGUCAAGUCAUCAUGCCCCUUAUGUCUUGGGCUGCACACGUGCUACAAUGGCCGGUACAAUGAGCUGCGAUACCGCGAGGUGGAGCGAAUCUCAAAAAGCCGGUCUCAGUUCGGAUUGGGGUCUGCAACUCGACCCCAUGAAGUCGGAGUCGCUAGUAAUCGCAGAUCAGCAUUGCUGCGGUGAAUACGUUCCCGGGCCUUGUACACGCCUCCCGUCACGUCACGAAAGUCGGUAACACC
rnacentral:rRNA from 1 species